rnacentral:lncRNA from 12 species
GCUUCCUGGAUUACUCUUUGCAGUAAUUUUUCCUUGGAAAGGGAGCACCAUCUGCAAACUAAACUUCUAAAACUAGAAAAGAUAAAACAAAAUCCACAGACUUUUUUUUCUUUUUUUUUUUUUUAAUUUUUUAUUUAUCUUCUCAAUGAGAUUUUCAAGUUACAGAUUCUGGAGAAACAGCAAAGUCAGCUGGCUACAUGGAAAAGUUGUCAUGCAAUAGGCCAGAGGCAAAUGUAGAGUGUGCCAGUUGCUCUGAAGGACCCCCCUGGAUGGAUGAUAUUAAGUGCUCCCAGGGUUUAUGAGAGGAGGAGGCUAGGGUAGGAACUGAUUGUAUACCACACUCUCCAGGAAAACCUUCCCUUCAGGAAGCACAUACUUGAUGCCAAAUGCACAGCUGCCUGCACUGCAAUGACAGAAGCUGAACACCUUCUUCACACUCG